rnacentral:rRNA from 1 species
CAGCAGCCACGGUAAUACGUAGGGUGCAAGCGUUAAUCGGAAUUACUGGGCGUAAAGCGUGCGCAGGCGGUUAUAUAAGACAGAUGUGAAAUCCCCGGGCUCAACCUGGGAACUGCAUUUGUGACUGUAUAGCUAGAGUACGGCAGAGGGGGAUGGAAUUCCGCGUGUAGCAGUGAAAUGCGUAGAUAUGCGGAGGAACACCGAUGGCGAAGGCAAUCCCCUGGGCCUGUACUGACGCUCAUGCACGAAAGCGUGGGGAGCAAACAGGAUUAGAUACCCCAGUAGUCCCUGUCUUUUAUAC